GCCGUUAUAGCUCAAUUGGCAGAGCGCCGCCCAUUUAAGGCGGGACAACGCUGGUGACACAUCUCGGACAUCACUGCGCACUUAACCAAUGCGCACAUAACAGACUUGAUGGUGCCGGUUCGAAUCCGGUUAACGGCUC
rnacentral:tRNA from 1 species